AGAGGCAAGAACCAGUUGCAAUCAGAAAAAAUGGACAUACAAACUAGAACAAUAGAAGCUACAUGUCGAAAAAAUAAAAACUACAGCCACUAAGUUGGAAAUGCUAAUCAAGUCAUACGAUCUGCAAAGAGAAUUUAAUAAUUUCGAGCUAAAAGCAAUCUGAUUGCACAUGCUCGUUACUCAAAGUACAUAAUAUAAUAUUAAUGGAUUCUACAAAUUUU
rnacentral:misc_RNA from 1 species